rnacentral:antisense_RNA from 1 species
UCCCAGCGCUUCGCGUACCAGGAAGGGGACGGCGUCCUGAAAGGGACAUUUGAAAAACGGAGGCAACGCGUCUAUUAAUUGGGUGGCGGCGCCUGGGGUCGCAGCACUCCAGAGGCCGAGAGUCUCGCCCUUUUGCCUAGUGGAGGAGCUCGGCUCACUGCAAGCUCCGCGCAACAACCCCCCUGCCGCCCCAGGUUCAAGAGAUUCUCCUGCCUCAGUCUCCCGAGUAGACUGGGAUUACAGAAUGGUGGGGUGGAAGAGUUCCCAGUUUUAAAGGAGAAGAAGUACAAGAAGACCUGUAAUUGUUAGCAAGAUAUAUAGAACACAGUGCACAUAGCAGCACACUUCUCAAGUCAGAUCCUCCAAGAUGCUUGGCAUAGGCUGAGGCGCCUCCUCCUCCUCCUUACUGCCCAGUUCAUCGCCUGUGAGGGGUGGCCAGAGGGGUCCUCAGACAACCCAACAAGGGAGAUGGUCAGAACGAUCAAGUGACCUCUCUAAGGCGGGGACUGAAGCGUCAGGUCUCACCUGCUCCAACAUCUCCUGCAUCCUCUGCCACACAUGGCAUGCUCUCCAUGGAGAUACUCAGCGUACUCGUCUCUCCAUUUGUAGAUAUUGCAGCCACUCCAUCACCUGCGAGAAUUGACACAGAAGUUAGGAAGGGCUGUCACUGGUCCUCACAUACUCCUGGCCACCUGGGGUCAUCUUCCUUCCAUGUCCCUCCCUCUGCAAAGCCUCACGUGCCCCAGGUAUGCUACCAGCUGUGCCCGCUCCUCCAUGGCCUGCUGUAACUGCUGGUUAGCAUCCAGGGCUUUGCAGCAUCUAGACAACUGGAUGGUGAAACAGGAGAAAUUUCGAUCUGGGAAGCCCGGACUGUUCCACCCAGUGCCUUUAAAAGGGCUAGGGCUAGGCUCAAUGUACAACUCAGUCAAUAAAGUCUCUGUCAAAUUGCUUUGCUUUAGAUACAAAAAAUUGAAUAAUUUUAAAGAGAUCUCAGGCUGGGCAUGGCGGCUCAUGCCUGUAAUCCCAAAAUUUUGGGAGGCUGAGGCGGGUGGAUUCCUUGAGCUCAGGAGUUCCAGACCAGCCUGGGCAACAUGGCGAAGCCCCGUCUCUACAAAUACAAAAAUUAGCCAGGUGCAGUGGCACGCACCUGUAGUCCCAGCUACUUGAGAGUCUGAGGCAGGAGAAUAGCUUGAGCCUGGGAGGUGGAGGUUGCAGUGAGCUGAGACAGCACCACCGCACUCCAGCCUGGGUCACAGAGCGAGACCUCAUCUCAAAAAAAAAAAAAAAAAAAAAUCACAACUCUAUUACCAGGAAAUAGUGAAAGUGUUGGCUUGAACCUCAGAAGGAAAUAAACAGACUCAUGAGCUAGACAUAUAAAUGUAAUCUAUAAAAUAAUGGUUUUCAUCCAUGAUGCUUUAUGAAAAAAAAUUUUAAGCCCUAACCUUGAGAUUCUGAUUCCCCAGGUCUAUGGCAGGGCCUCAAUUUGUAGAUUUUUAGCAUUCUCUAGAGGAUUCUAUGGCAGGAGAAGAACAAAGACUCAAAUUUUUCAGCUCUUGGCUGGAGCGUCCCCAUACCUGGCAUGAUCCCUAGGCCAUGGCCCCAGCUGGAUGGGGUUCUCACCACCCCAGGGCUGCAGUAAUCCCUCCAGGUGUUCAAGAACCUCUGGCAUACGCCAGGUAGAAAAAUGUGUUUCCUUCUGUAGGUCCAAAGCCAGGGAUACCAUAUGUUCUGUAUUGAUAUGAAACAAUGACUUGCAAUUAAAACAUAUCAAUCUGCUUCCUACUCCUACCCUCCAUCCAAUGUGUUUUAUUUUUAUGAGUUAAAUAAGAAAACGAGUGGCAACCAGAGAUUUUGUCUAAAAAGUAUAUCUACAGGUAUCAGUUCUCAUCCAGCCUGAUCUCAUCCAAUAUCAUAUAUAUUCUCUUACAUGUAAAGUUUCAGAAAAGUAUCUUCACAACGUAAGACUCAGGCACACUAGGAGUUCUAUAAUAAAACACCAAGUAGAUCAGAAUGUCCAAACUUACUAGAGAAGAAAAGUGGAAUCAUUGGCUAUAUUUUCAAAUUGCAUUCAACAGGAAAUUUAAGUUUUGAGUAUUUUCCACCUUGAACCUGGGAAGUGGAGGUUGUGGUGAGCUGAGAUGGCGCCAUUGCCCUCCAGCCUGG